rnacentral:rRNA from 1 species
CCUACGGGGGGCUGCAGUGGGGAAUAUUGGACAAUGGGCGAAAGCCUGAUCCAGCCAUGCCGCGUGUGUGAAGAAGGCCUUCGGGUUGUAAAGCACUUUCAGUGGGGAAGAAAGCCUUGGGGCUAAUACCCUCGAGGAAGGACAUCACCCACAGAAGAAGCACCGGCUAACUCCGUGCCAGCAGCCGCGGUAAUACGGAGGGUGCGAGCGUUAAUCGGAAUUACUGGGCGUAAAGCGCGCGUAGGCGGUCUGAUAAGCCGGUUGUGAAAGCCCCGGGCUCAACCUGGGAACGGCAUCCGGAACGGUCAGGCUAGAGUGCAGGAGAGGAAGGUAGAAUUCCCGGUGUAGCGGUGAAAUGCGUAGAGAUCGGGAGGAAUACCAGUGGCGAAGGCGGCCUUCUGGACUGACACUGACGCUGAGGUGCGAAAGCGUGGGUAGCAAACAGGAUUAGAUACCCUAGUAGUC